rnacentral:misc_RNA from 1 species
GAUCACAUUACUAAUCUUGACAACUACUUUACUUUAGGACUCUUGUAAAGAUCACAAAUGUAGUAUGCAUUUACAGUUGCUUAGAGCACUGCAUAGAGAACCUGUUUGGGCAGUUGCUCAUCCUGUUUUUGUAGUUGCUUAUUCUUAGAAUCCCGUAGUUGCUUAAACACUGUCUGCUGGUUGCCUGAUCACUUCUUUCCUCGGCUGUUUCCCUACAUAAACAAACUUUAUAGCAUGGCAGAAGCCAGUAACCAGUUUCCUGAGUAGCCAAAACAGAAGCUUUAGGGGCUAGAGGUAUGACAAUAACUACUAGCAACCCAACCCGAACACUGCUUAGUAAAAAGGAAUUUCAUUCUCAAGUCUUUCCUCUUUUUCCUGCUUUGGCCCUUCAACCAAAAUAACUGAGAUAUGUAAGUGGAAGCCAUGAAAAUCACUGUGAUACACAUGGCUAUAAGCAUAAUCCACAUGGAAAACCUGUGUUUGAGAGGAAGUACCUCAAGCAGAAGGAUUAUGCUCAGAGAUGCAGCGAAAGAGUGUUGAAGAUGGCAAAUUCUUGGCUGUUAUAUUCAUCAAUACAUGUUAUGUGGAGCUUGAAUAUCCAUUUUCUGUCUAUAUCGAGUCAUGAGUCAUGAGUCAUGUAUUGUUGAUGAAGCCAAAAAGUUGACAUAUCAAACCUGGUGGUGAAUUUGAUGCUAUAUUCCCGGACGUUUGCAGGAAAAUCCUAUGCUUUUGCCUGUUUAUAAUGUUUAUAAUCUAAUUGCAAAUUUCAAUUUUCAUUAUCAUUAGUUAC